rnacentral:rRNA from 1 species
GACGAACGCUGGCGGCGUGCUUAACACAUGCAAGUCGAACGGAAAGGCCCUGCUUUUGUGGGGUGCUCGAGUGGCGAACGGGUGAGUAACACGUGAGUAACCUGCCCUUGACUUUGGGAUAACUUCAGGAAACUGGGGCUAAUACCGGAUAGGAGCUCCUGCUGCAUGGUGGGGGUUGGAAAGUUUCGGCGGUUGGGGAUGGACGCGCGGCUUAUCAGCUUGUUGGUGGGGUAGUGGCUUACCAAGGCUUUGACGGGUAGCCGGCCUGAGAGGGUGACCGGCCACAUUGGGACUGAGAUACGGACCAGACUCCUACGGGAGGCAGAAGUGGGGAAUAUUGCACAAUGGGCGGAAGCCUGAUGCAGCAACGCCGCGUGCGGGAUGACGGCCUUCGGGUUGUAAACCGCUUUCGCCUGUGACGAGGCGUGAGUGACGGUAAUGGGUAAAGAAGCACCGGCUAACUACGUG